ACCCGCUGAACUUAAGCAUAUCAAUAAGCGGAGGAAAAGAAACCAACAGGGAUUGCCUUAGUAACGGCGAGUGAAGCGGCAAAAGCUCAGAUUUGAAAUCUUCUUGCAUUUGUAAGACGAGUUGUAAUCUGUAGAAGGAUCAAUCGGCUGAAUAUUCUGAUUUAAGUUCCCUGGAAUAGGACAUCAUAGAGGGUGAGAAUCCCGUGAUUAUCGGAAAAUAGGCUAUUCAAUUGACCUUUCGACGAGUCGAGUUGUUUGGGAAUGCAGCUCUAAAUGGGUGGUAAAUUUCAUCUAAAGCUAAAUAUCUGCCAGAGACCGAUAGCGAACAAGUAGAGUGAUCGAAAGAUGAAAAGCACUUUGAAAAGAGAGUUAAAUAGUACGUGAAAUUGUUGAAAGGGAAGCGCUUGCAAUUAGACUUGAUCUAUUAAUUCAGCUCUAUCAUGGUAGAGUGUACUUUUGAUUGAUCAGGCCAGCAUCAGUUCGAUCAGGUUUAAAAAUGUAAUUGGAAUGUAGCAAACGUUUCGGCGUUUGUGUUAUAGACUUUUAUACCAUAAAUCUAGAUUGGACUGAGGUCUGCCAUUCGUGUAGGAUGCUGGCAUAAUGAUUGUAAGCGGCCCGUCUUGAAACACGG
rnacentral:rRNA from 1 species